GAACCAUAAGACUCGCUGUUCUGAUUUUGUAAUAAUCAGGGCAGGCUAAACAUUCGCUAUAUUAAGACCAUGCAUGUGUCCCCAGACCAGGGAGCCCUGCUUUGUCGUGCACCAUCAAUAACUGGUUUUCUAAAUGCUGGUGAUAAAA
rnacentral:snoRNA from 1 species